GAUUUCUGACGAAACUGCUAGCUGGCCCGCCACGCAAGUGGUGAGUGCCGGCUUGGCGUUUGUCAUCCGUUCGAAUGAUAUGCGUGCUGCCCUUCACUGGGUUGGCGCUGCAUGUUUUCGAUCUUUUACUUUGAAAAAAUUAGAGUGUUUCAAGCAGGCAUGUUUUGCUAUGAAUACAUUAGCAUGGAAUAAUAAUUUAGGACUUUGUUUCUAUUUUGUUGGUUUCUAGAGGCGAAGUAAUGAUUGAUAGGGAUAGUUGGGGGUGCUAGUAUUCAGCGGCCAGAGGUGAAAUUCUUGGAUUCGCUGAAGACUAACUUAUGCGAAAGCAUU
rnacentral:rRNA from 1 species